rnacentral:rRNA from 1 species
GACGAACGCUGGCGGCGUGCCUAAUACAUGCAAGUAGAACGCACAGUUUAUACCGUAGCUUGCUACACCAUAGACUGUGAGUUGCGAACGGGUGAGUAACGCGUAGGUAACCUGCCUGGUAGCGGGGGAUAACUAUUGGAAACGAUAGCUAAUACCGCAUAAUAUUGAUUAUUGCAUGAUAAUUAAUUGAAAGGUGCAAUUGCACCACUACCAGAUGGACCUGCGUUGUAUUAGCUAGUAGGUGAGGUAACGGCUCACCUAGGCGACGAUACAUAGCCGACCUGAGAGGGUGGUCGGCCACACUGGGACUGAGACACGGCCCAGACUCCUACGGGAGGCAGCAGUAGGGAAUCUUCGGCAAUGGACGAAAGUCUGACCGAGCAACGCCGCGUGAGUGAAGAAGGUUUUCGGAUCGUAAAGCUCUGUUGUAAGAGAAGAACGGGUGUGAGAGUGGAAAGUUCACACUGUGACGGUAUCUUACCAGAAAGAGACGGCUAACUACGUG